rnacentral:rRNA from 1 species
CGUUGCAUAUCGGGAAGCGGAGGAAAAGAAACCAACAGGGAUUGCCCCAGUAACGGCGAGUGAAGCGGCAAGAGCUCAAAUUUGAAAUCUGGCCUCCCCCGGGGGCCCGAGUUGUAAUUUGCAGAGGAUGUUUCGGGUGCGGCCGCCGUCUAAGUUCCUUGGAACAGGACGUCAGAGAGGGUGAGAAUCCCGUCUUGGGCGGGCGGUCCGCGCCCGUGUGAAGCUCCUUCGACGAGUCGAGUUGUUUGGGAAUGCAGCUCUAAGCGGGUGGUAAAUUUCAUCUAAAGCUAAAUAUUGGCCGGAGACCGAUAGCGCACAAGUAGAGUGAUCGAAAGGUUAAAAGCACCUUGAAAAGGGAGUUAAACAGCACGUGAAAUUGUUGAAAGGGAAGCGCUUGCGGCCAGACUCGGGGGCGGGGUUCAGCGGGUGCUCGUCGCCCGUGUAUUCCUCGUUUCCCGGGCCAGCAUCAGUUUCGACGGCCGGUCAAAGGCCCCCGGAAUGUGUCGUCUCUCGGGACGUCUUAUAGCCGGGGGUGCAAUGCGGCCCGUCGGGACUGAGGAACGCGCUCCGGCUCGGAUGCAAUCU